UACUACGCCCUAGGUCAGUGAUACUCCACCACUACUACGCCCUAGGUCAGUGAUACUCCACCACUACUACUAUGCCCUAGGUCAGUGAUACUCCACCACUACUACGCCCUAGGUCAGUGAUACUCCACCACUACUACGCCCUAGGUCAGUGAUACUCCACCACUACUACGUCCUAGGUCAGUGAUACUCCACCACUACUCCGUCCUAGGUCAGUGAUACUCCACCACUACUCCGUCCUAGGUCAGUGAUACUCCACCACUACUCCGUCCUAGGUCAGUGAUACUCCACCACUACUCCGUCCUAGGUCAGUGAUACUCCACCACUACUCCGUCCUAGGUCAGUGAUACUCCACCACUACUCCGUCCUAGGUCAGUGAUACUCCACCACUACUCCGUCCUAGGUCAGUGAUACUCCACCACUACUCCGUCCUAGGUCAGUGAUACUCCACCACUACUCCGUCCUAGGUCAGUGAUACUCCACCACUACUCCGUCCUAGGUCAGUGAUACUCCACCACUACUCCGUCCUAGGUCAGUGAUACUCCACCACUACUCCGUCCUAGGUCAGUGAUACUCCACCACUACUCCGUCCUAGGUCAGUGAUACUCCACCACUACUCCGUCCUAGGUCAGUGAUACUCCACCACUACUCCGUCCUAGGUCAGUGAUACUCCAC